ACUGCAGUCGAUCGAGCUGAAUUCUAGAUCCCUUCCGGGUGAUUUGUUGGACGCCCGCGGCGGAUGGGUGAGUAACACGUGGGCCAUCUGCCCUAACGACUGGGAUACCACUUGGAAACAGGUGCUAAUACCGGACAACAACAUGAAUCGCAUGAUUCAAGUUUGAAAGGCGGCGCAAGCUGUCACUUUAGGAUGAGCCCGCGGCGCAUUAGCUAGUUGGUGGGGUAAAGGCCUACCAAGGCAAUGAUGCGUAGCCCAGUUGAGAGACUGAUCGGCCACAUUGGGACUGAGACACGGCCCAAACUCCUACGGGAGGCAGCAGUAGGGAAUCUUCCACAAUGGACGCAAGUCUGAUGGAGCAACGCCGCGUGAGUGAAGAAGGUUUUCGGAUCGUAAAGCUCUGUUGUUGGUGAAGAAGGAUAGAGGCAGUAACUGGUCUUUAUUUGACGGUAAUCAACCAGAAAGUCACGGCUAACUACGUGCCAGCAGCCGCGGUAAUACGUAGGUGGCAAGCGUUGUCCGGAUUUAUUGGGCGUAAAGCGAGCGCAGGCGGAAUGAUAAGUCUGAUGUGAAAGCCCACGGCUCAACCGUGGAACUGCAUCGGAAACUGUCAUUCUUGAGUGCAGAAGAGGAGAGUGGAACUCCUG
rnacentral:rRNA from 1 species